CACCACUUUCAUCUCCAACACCAUCCCCUUCUCCGUUCACUGCACCUGCCCCGACAACUAAACCACCGGUAUCAUCUCCAGCACCAGCUCCUGUUAGCCCUGCCCGGCACCGGUAAUUCCGGUAGGAUCUUCACCCACUCAUGCUCCAGAAAACUCACCUCCACCAAAAAAGGAAGGUGGUUCAGCACCAACACCAACACCAACAUUGUCGAAUUCACCUGUUGAGGUGGAUGAUGUAAGUUUCUCAUUCCUCUUUUC
rnacentral:lncRNA from 1 species